ensembl:lncRNA
GUUUGUGGAUGGCGAUGGGGUGGCAGAAGGCGCAGUGGAUGAGGGGGGACCGACCAGAGAGUUCUGUACCCUCCUCAUCCACCAAAUACAGAAUCAUUUAGUAUUCGAAGGUCCUGAGGGCAACAAAACCCUGGCCCUGAACAGUGUUGCAUUGCAGAAAGGACAGUACAGGCUGGUGGGGCAGAUGAUUGCCGUCUGCCUGGUGCAGGGGCAGGUCUCUCCCAGAUUUUUAUCUGAGCGCCUCUACAGACAGGUGUGUGUAAUCUGUCCCCUCUUCCUGCCACUUUGGAAGAGGUGACAGAUUACAAUUUGAGGACCAAGCUCCGAAAGGCAAGUAAAUGGUUAAUGUUAAUUGAAACCACUUUUUGGAUUUUUUUUUUUUUUGUCAGUGUUUUUGUGUCAAGAUACUGUGUGGUGUGCUCUAUAGUGUACUGAUGUUGAAUUUCAAUAUAUGAUUGAUGCCAUACAGAUAUGUCAAUGCAUUCUUCACUGUUAGAAGAUAAUUUGUGCCAUGAAAGUGCUUAGAAAUCCCAAAUAAUUAUUGUUCCUAAUGUAUGAUAUUAGAUUGCAGAUGCCACACAUGUGGAAGGUGCCAGGGAGGCUAUGGAGGAGGCCACAGACGAGCUCUCCCUCAUGGGCUCCUUCUCCUUUGUGAGGAGCCUCCCGCAGAGGGAUGAGCUGCUGGGGGCAGCCCUCAACUUCCUCACAGAGGGCCGUAUUUUGACUGCUCUGAAUCAAUUCAAAGAAGGGUUGGAGACCUUCGGUUCAAGCCCUUUUGAGGUUCCACCCUGAGGAGCUCAAGG